AUCUCCCCCUUCACUUUGCCACUGAGACGUUUCUUGUCUCCAUUGGCCAUUCAAGUGGGGUAAAGAAUAUCCUUUUAAAACCCAACCAGAUUGUACUUAAUUGGCUUGGAUCCUGUCAGAGGAAACAGAA